AAAGGGUCUGUAGCCGGCCGGAUAAGUCUUUUGGGAAAUCUGGCAGCUUAACUGUCAGGCUUUCAGAGGAUACUGUCUGGCUCGAGGCCGGGAGAGGUGAGAGGUACUUCAGGGGUAGGGGUGAAAUCUUGUAAUCCUUGAAGGACCACCAGUGGCGAAGGCGUCUCACCAGAACGGACCUGACGGCAAGGGACGAAAGCUAGGGGCACGAACCGGAUUAGAUACCCGGGUAGUCCUAGCCGUAAACGAUACUCGCUAGGUGUCGGCCACGGUGCGACCGUUGUCGGUGCCGUAGGGAAGCCGUGAAGCGAGCCACCUGGGAAGUACGGCCGCAAGGCUGAAACUUAAAGGAAUUGGCGGGGGAGCACCACAACGGGUGGAGCUUGCGGUUUAAUUGGAUUCAACGCCGGAAAUCUUACCGGGACCGACAGCAACAUGAAGGCCAGGCUGAAGACUUUGCCGGAUUAGCUGAGAGGAGG
rnacentral:rRNA from 1 species